AUAGCUCAGUGGUAGAGCUCUUGCUUGGCAUUCAAGGGGCCCUGGGUUUGAUCCCUUGU
rnacentral:tRNA from 1 species